rnacentral:rRNA from 1 species
AAAGAUGGUUCUGCUAUCACUCUUGGAUGGACCUGCGGUGCAUUAGCUAGUUGGUAAGGUAACGGCUUACCAAGGCAAUGAUGCAUAGCCGAGUUGAGAGACUGAUCGGCCACAUUGGGACUGAGACACGGCCCAAACUCCUACGGGAGGCAGCAGUAGGGAAUCUUCCACAAUGGACGCAAGUCUGAUGGAGCAACGCCGCGUGAGUGAAGAAGGGUUUCGGCUCGUAAAGCUCUGUUGGUAGUGAAGAAAGAUAGAGGUAGUAACUGGCCUUUAUUUGACGGUAAUUACCUAGAAAGUCACGGCUAACUACGUGCCAGCAGCCGCGGUAAUACGUAGGUGGCAAGCGUUGUCCGGAUUUAUUGGGCGUAAAGCGAGUGCAGGCGGUUCAAUAAGUCUGAUGUGAAAGCCUUCGGCUCAACCGGAGAAUUGCAUCAGAAACUGUUGAACUUGAGUGCAGAAGAGGAGAGUGGAACUCCAUGUGUAGCGGUGGAAUGCGUAGAUAUAUGGAAGAACACCAGUGGCGAAGGCGGCUCUCUGGUCUGCAACUGACGCUGAGGCUCGAAAGCAUGGGUAGCGAACAGGAUUAGAUACCCUGGUAGUCCAUGCCGUAAACGAUGAGUGCUAAGUGUUGGGAGGUUUCCGCCUCUCA